rnacentral:misc_RNA from 1 species
AUUCAAUGAAGACGGAUCGUGAUGUUAUUGUGCCAACUCCUAGAUCUGUACCUUCUCGAUUCGCACGGUAGCACCAAUUUGCUUUUUUGUAAUCUGCUUACCAUCCGAGCAAUUCCGAUAGAAUGUAUAUAAGAUUAAUUUUUUGCCAAACAUAACCAUAUGUUAGAUGAUCAGUAUUUAUUGUAAGGACCAAAAGGUUCAACUGUGAAAUAACUUUCCAAGUUGGAGUUGCCCACUCAGAUGAAGAGGUGUCUUUAUAG